rnacentral:tRNA from 1 species
GUUUUAGUUUAAAAUGGUAAAAACACUCCCUCCUUGAAAUUUCCAUAACGGAGAGAUACAAGUUCAAAUCUUGUAACUGACA